rnacentral:rRNA from 1 species
UACAGAGGGUGCAAGCGUUGUUCGGAAUUAUUGGCGUAAAGCGCGUGUAGGCGGCUUUGCAAGUCGGGUGUGAAAGCCCUCAGCUUAACUGAGGAAGUGCGCCCGAAACUGCUUGGCUUGAGUACCGGAGAGGAUGGCGGAAUUCCCCAAGUAGAGGUGAAAUUCGUAGAUAUGGGGAGGAACACCGGUGGCGAAGGCGGCCAUCUGGACGGAUACUGACGCUGAGGCGCGAAAGCCAGGGGAGCAAACGGG